UACAGAGGUCUCAACCGUUGUUCGGAUUCAUUGGGCGUAAAGGGUGCGUAGGCGGUCGUGCAAGUCGGAUGUGAAAUCUCAGGCUCAACCCUGAACUGCAUUCGAUACUGCGUGGCUAGAGUGCUGGAGAGGAGACUGGAAUUUACGGUGUAGCAGUGAAAUGCGUAGAUAUCGUAAGGAAGACCAGUGGCGAAGGCGAGUCUCUGGACAGCAACUGACGCUGAGGCACGAAGGCCAGGGGAGCAAACGGG
rnacentral:rRNA from 1 species